rnacentral:rRNA from 1 species
AGAGAGAGACAUGCGCGCAUAUCAAUAAGCGGAGGAAAAGAAACUAACUAGGAUUCCCUCAGUAACGGCGAGUGAAGCGGGAAGAGCUCAAAUUUGAAAUCUUCAAGGUUCUACCUUGACGAAUUGUAGUUUAAAGAAGUGUUUUCUGUUGGAGUUUUGGUAAAAGUUCUUUGGAAUAGGACAUCAUAGAGGGUGAGAAUCCCGUAUUUGACCAUUAUUUCCAGCUUUGUGAUACACUUUCAAAGAGUCGGAUUGUUUGGGAAUGCAGUCCAAAAUGGGUGGUAAAUUUCAUCUAAAGCUAAAUAUUGGCGAGAGACCGAUAGCGAACAAGUACCGUGAGGGAAAGAUGAAAAGAACUUUGAAAAGAGAGUUAAACAGUACGUGAAAUUGUCAAAAGGGAAGCGUUUGACACCAGUGUUGUUUUCUCGAAAAUCAAUUAAAAAAGGCAGGAUUUUGUGUUGUAUUGACUUUAUCAGCUUUCUGCACUCUUUUCUUGUCUUUUUUAAUGCACUUUUCGUUUAACAAGUCAACAUCAAUUUCUUUUGUUGUAAAAGGGUCAUUGGAAGGUGGCUUUCUUUUCGGAGAAAGUGUUUAUAGCCUCUUGGCCUAUGCAAUCGGAGAGAUUGAGGUCUGCAGCGUAGAUCCUUCGGGGCUAGAUACAUUUGUGCUAAGUUAUAGCAUUUUAUAGACAACUUGUUGACUAUGAUUAGUCAUUGUAGCUUACUCGCUUAUGUUAUUUUACCUACGCUUAGGAUGUUGAUGUGAUACUGCGAGC